GGGGAAUGAAGUUCUCCCCCGGUAAUACCGAAACCGCUAUAUGCUGAUGACUUCUGCUUUUA
rnacentral:ncRNA from 1 species